AAGAAAGAAGCAUAAUGGGUCUGAUGCGGUUGGCUUGAAACCAAUGUAUGAGGGUUCGAUUCCUUCCUUUCUUG
rnacentral:tRNA from 1 species